rnacentral:RNase_P_RNA from 1 species
GAAGCGCGCCAGACCGCCGCUGGUGCAAUCUGGGAAACCAGGCACUGGAGGAACGUCCGGACUGCACAGGACAGCGUAGCAGCUAACGGCUGCCCACCGUGAGGUGAGGAUCAGAGCAACAGAGACGAGUCCCGGGGGAGUGCCGCAAGGUAGACCACCGGGGGUGAAACGGGCAAUCUCUACGCGCAGCAAUACCAAGUAGGCCAACGUUGAUGUGGUUCCGCAGAGUUGGCGGGUAGGUAGCAUCGAGCCGGGUGGGCGACCCCCGGCCCAGAGUAAUGGCGGUCACGCCCGGGCAACCGGGCGCACAGAAUCCGGCUUAUCGGCGCGCUUCACAC